CAUCACUUCUAGUCUGGUUUGGGGGCUGCACUGACUAUGCCUCCCAAUCCUGCUGUGCCUUGGGGCUGCUCCCAUAGGGGAGUGGUUUCCUUGGGAGGGGUCCAGUAGUCACUGACGCUGGCAUAAGGAGGACCCACGUGCAAGUCUGGUCCUAGUGGAGGCACUGGCCCCAGAUGGGCUGGGCAUGCCCCCGCCCCCCGCUGCAGGCUGCAACUUCUCUUCCAGUGGGGCCUGCAGUCACCUAAGGGUGCCUUGAUUUCAGAUUUCUUGAGGACAGAGAGGAACUGAUGCAGGCACACAUUCUGUGCAUCACAUCCAAAGACCAACACUCCACAAGAACUGAAUGAGUGCUGAUACCCAGGCACAACCUGCAGGCACCUUCUCCAGGUGCACUAGGAAGGAAGAGGAGAUAUUGGAGCCCAAAUGACCAGCAGGCAGAGGGACUGCACCAGCAGGAAGACCAUCCUCCCCUCCCCAUCACCCCCUCCUUGCUCACGUGCUCCCCUGUCCCCCAAGUGACCAGAAGGGGGAGGGAGUAAAGGGGAUGUUUCCAUGGGACAAUAUUUAAAUUCAGCUCUUCUCUGAAUGUUUUUAGUUACAAAAGUAACAUAUACUCAUCAGAGCACCCCAGGCAGUGCCUGUAACCUCAGUCCGAAGUAGGCAACGCCGUCUGCUGGGUGUGUGUACCUCACACCACUCUCUGUGCUCAUGCAAAUCAUGUGUUUUAAGCAUGAGCCUUCAACUCAAUUCUCAUCUCCCCUGAGACGCUCGCUGCCUUUCAGAUGCUUGGUAAGUCCCGUCACCUCCUUUGCCUGAUGUAGAGGCAGCAAUCACAGAGGGAGGGUGCACAUUUUUAGGCACCCCCAGCCUCCUUGGCUUUUUUGUGUGAAGACCCUUCCUCAGGGUGGUCACAGCUGUGGGGUCGGAGGCAUGACCCCCCUCCAGCACAACCUGCAUCCUCCUGGACAGCCCAGCACCCUGUUCAGCAAGGAGGGAGAACUGAGUCCCUCUCCUCAGGCUGUGCCCGGGAUUCCACGGCAAGAGCAGAAACACUUCCUCAUCAUUUUGCAAACACAAAAAUAUGGAACAAGCGGCCACGUUAGACAUUGGGUGCUUGGAGCCUGCCCCUCCCAGGGAGCACCCAAUUCCCUGUUGAGGACUACAGCCCCGCUCCAGCCUGGAGAGGCUGUCAGUCCAGCUGCCCGCCCCUGCCCAGAAGUGGAUCUCCAGGUGGGGGGGACCCACAGGGUCGGGGAAGAGGGUCAGUUCAUC
rnacentral:lncRNA from 1 species